UACAUGGGGUGCAAACGUUGCUCGGAAUUAUUGGGCGUAAAGCGCACGUAGGCGGUUUGUUAAGUCUGAUGUGAAAUCCCUCGGCUCAACUGAGGAAGUGCAUCCGAAACUGGCAGGUUUGAGUACUAAAGAGGGUCGCGGAAUUCCCGGUGUAGAGGUGAAAUUCGUAGAUAUCGGGAGGAAUACCUGAGGCGAAGGCGGGCUACUGGGCCGAUACUGACGCUGAUGUGCGAAAGCCAGGGGAGCGAACGGG
rnacentral:rRNA from 1 species